GACGAACGCUGGCGGCGUGCUUAACACAUGCAAGUCGAACGGUGAAGCGCCUUCCUUUUUGGUGGGUGUGGAUGAGUGGCGAACGGGUGAGUAACACGUGAGUAACCUGCCCCCUUCUUCUGGAUAACCGCAUGAAAGUGUGGCUAAUACGGGAUAUUCUGGGUCUGUCGCAUGAUGGGUCUGGGAAAGAUAUUGUUUCGGUGGGGGAUGGGCUCGCGGCCUAUCAGCUUGUUGGUGGGGUGAUGGCCUACCAAGGCGGUGACGGGUAGCCGGCCUGAGAGGGUGGACGGUCACACUGGGACUGAGACACGGCCCAGACUCCGACGGGAGGCAGCAGUGGGGAAUAUUGCACAAUGGGCGCAAGCAUGAUGCAGCGACGCCGCGGGAGGGAUGGAGGCCUGCGGGUUGUGAACCUCUUUCGCCAGUGAAGCAGGCCUGCCUCGUUUGUGGGUGGGUUGACGGUAGCUGGAUAAGAAGCGCCGGCUAACUACGUG
rnacentral:rRNA from 1 species